rnacentral:rRNA from 1 species
CGGAGGAAAAGAAACCAACAGGGAUUGCCUCAGUAACGGCGAGUGAAGCGGCAACAGCUCAAAUUUGAAAUCUGGCUCUCGGGCCCGAGUUGUAAUUUGCAGAGGAUGUUUCUGGCGAGGUGCCUUCCGAGUUCCCUGGAACGGGACGCCAUAGAGGGUGAGAGCCCCGUCCGGUUGGUCGCUAAGCCUCUGUGAAACUCCUUCGACGAGUCGAGUAGUUUGGGAAUGCUGCUCUAAAUGGGAGGUAUACGUCUUCUAAAGCUAAAUACCGGCCAGAGACCGAUAGCGCACAAGUAGAGUGAUCGAAAGAUGAAAAGCACUUUGAAAAGAGGGUUAAAUAGUACGUGAAAUUGUUGAAAGGGAAGCGUUUAUGACCAGACUUGGGCCGGUUGAUCAUCCAUCGUUCUCGGUGGUGCACUCUGCCGGCUCAGGCCAGCAUCAGUUUGGCUUGGGGGAUAAAGGUUUCGGGAAUGUGGCUCCCUCGGGAGUGUUAUAGCCCGUUGCGCAAUACCCUGGGCUAGACUGAGGUUCGCGCUCCGCAAGGAUGCUGGCGUAAUGGUCAUCAGCGACCCGUCUUGAAACACGGACCAAGGAGUCGUCUUCGUAUGCGAGUGUUCGGGUGUCAAACCCCUACGCGUAAUGAAAGUGAACGUAGGAGAGAGCUUCGGCGCAUCUCCGACCGAUCCUGAUGUUCUCGGAUGGAUUUGAGUAAGAGCAUACGGGGCCGGACCCGAAAGAAGGUGAACUAUGCCUGUAUAGGGUGAAGCCAGAGGAAACUCUGGUGGAGGCUCGCAGCGGUUCUGACGUGCAAAUCGAUCGUCAAAUAUGGGCAUGGGGGCGAAAGACUAAUCGAACCUUCUAGUAGCUG